UGAGGAAUAUUGGACAAUGGGCGCAAGCCUGAUCCAGCAAUGCCGCGUGCAGGAUGAAGGCCUUCGGGUUGUAAACUGCUUUUGUACGGAGCGAAAAGGUCUGCCCUAAUACGGUGGGCUCAUGACGGUACCGUAAGAAUAAGCACCGGCUAACUACGUGCCAGCAGCCGCGGUAAUACGUAGGGUGCGAGCGUUAAUCGGAAUUACUGGGCGUAAAGCGUGCGCAGGCGGUUAUAUAAGACAGAUGUGAAAUCCCCGGGCUCAACCUGGGACCUGCAUUUGUGACUGUAUAGCUAGAGUACGGUAGAGGGGAUGGAAUUCCGCGUGUAGCAGUGAAAUGCGUAGAUAUGCGGAGGAACACCGAUGGCGAAGGCAAUCCCCUGGACCUGUACUGACGCUCAUGCACGAAAGCGUGGGGAGCAAACA
rnacentral:rRNA from 1 species